rnacentral:rRNA from 1 species
UUAGAGUUUGAUCAUGGCUCAGGACGAACGCUGGCGGCGUGCCUAAUACAUGCAAGUCGAACGCGUCUUGGUUAAUGAUGUUAGGUGCUUGCAUUUAACUGAUUUAACAUUGAGACGAGUGGCGAACUGGUGAGUAACACGUGGGUAACCUGCCCUGAAGUGGGGGAUAACACUUGGAAACAGGUGCUAAUACCGCAUAACAACGAAAACCACAUGGUUUUCGUUUGAAAGAUGGCUUCGGCUGUCACUUUUGGAUGGACCCGCGGCGUAUUAGCUUGUUGGUGAGGUAACGGCUCACCAAGGCCAUGAUACGUAGCCGACCUGAGAGGGUAAUCGGCCACAUUGGGACUGAGACACGGCCCAAACUCCUACGGGAGGCAGCAGUAGGGAAUCUUCCACAAUGGACGAAAGUCUGAUGGAGCAACGCCGCGUGAGUGAUGAAGGGUUUCGGCUCGUAAAACUCUGUUGUUGGAGAAGAACAGGUGAUAGAGUAACUGUUAUCAUCUUGACGGUAUCCAACCAGAAAGCCACGGCUAACUACGUGCCAGCAGCCGCGGUAAUACGUAGGUGGCAAGCGUUGUCCGGAUUUAUUGGGCGUAAAGCGAGCGCAGGCGGUUUUUUAGGUCUGAUGUGAAAGCCUUCGGCUUAACCGGAGAAGGGCAUCGGAAACCGGGAGACUUGAGUGCAGAAGAGGACAGUGGAACUCCAUGUGUAGCGGUGAAAUGCGUAGAUAUAUGGAAGAACACCAGUGGCGAAGGCGGCUGUCUGGUCUGUAACUGACGCUGAGGCUCGAAAGCAUGGGUAGCGAACAGGAUUAGAUACCCUGGUAGUCCAUGCCGUAAACGAUGAGUGCUAAGUGUUGGAGGGUUUCCGCCCUUCAGUGCUGCAGCUAACGCAUUAAGCACUCCGCCUGGGGAGUACGACCGCAAGGUUGAAACUCAAAGGAAUUGACGGGGGCCCGCACAAGCGGUGGAGCAUGUGGUUUAAUUCGAUGCUACGCGAAGAACCUUACCAGGUCUUGACAUC